CUGUUCCCUUCCUCCUACCCCAAACUGUUCAGUUUCUUUUUUAUCCUUUUGCUAUGUAUGUAUAUCAGAUGAGAAUGUUUCAGUUUUUAAUUGGCAGCCUGCUGCGGAGACGUCAAGGAGGAACCGGAGUACCUCUGGUAAAUAAAUGGUGUUUUCUAGGAUGAUAAACAAUGCUUUGUUCUUGGAAAUUCAGUAGCACUGUCGACUGUCGAUUCCGCGUGCACCUGCAAAUUAAACUGAUGGAGUCCUUGGGUCCUUCCUAGUCCGGAUUCUCUGUCUUUCCAAGCUAGUAGUUGCGUGCACAGUUUUCGUGCAUGUUGCAGCUAUCUGUGCCAGUUUUUACCCAUACUAUGUUUAUAUUGACACAUUUAUCAUGUUCACUGUUCGAUUGUUUAUCAAUCCCUUGAUCGAAAAUGGAAAAAAAAUAGCCGAAAACAAAUGAAUUUCUGCCCUUAGGUUCCUUUGGAUAACUCAAACCUAAGAUAUCAAAAUGAUUUCCAACAGAAGCCUUCCCGCACCUUGUUCAUGAUGCUUUGUUUGUUUAAUGUUUGCAGCCAAUGCAAGUGCACUUCAAGUGAGCUGCGAACUUCUUCGGAUGUUUGUCGCAGGUCUGCAUAUUGACGAAAAAUAUCACACCACCUCAUGCUAAUAACAAGUAAACAUUUGGUUCCACUUAUGCAGUCAACCUCUGAAUUCUGUCUUGCAGAGGCUGUCCAGCGGUGUGCUGUUAUCGCUGAAGCAGAGGGGACGACCACAAUUGAGCCCACCCACCUGGAGCGAGUUUUGCCGCAGCUUCUUCUGGACUUCUAGCUAGCCUUCUUGGUACGGUGGUACCUGUCCCGGACACAGAUGGAUAGCCAAGGCGCCUGAAGCAAUCCAUAGUUAAUCUUGUAAUGAGAAUGUUGUUUCUGUCACCCUGACAAACCAGUUCAGUUAAAUAUAACACUGCCGCCCUGAUUCACAAGUCAGUAAAUUGGGGUUUUGUUCCACAAGUCUGCAGCCAAUUCGUGCAAUUUCCCGUGGAAUUUUACUGUCCUUGGAAAAUCCUCCGCGCUGGGGGUAGCAGAGCACGCGCUACGUGUGAGUGUGACUGGCCUGUGAAAAAAAGGCGUGGUGGUCUCUGCAGUGGCGGAGCUUGAAAGAAAUCUCAGGAGGGGCGAAGAAAUCUCAAACGGGCUGCAUAGCACAAAGCUUCAAAUAUGCUCGCCCCACAUCAUCUCUUGGAUUAGCUGGAUGUUUUCAAAUUUGUGGACGUAGACACGUAGUGUUGGAUCCCGAUGCAAAAAUUCAAUCCCUCAAAAUAGGGCUUCAUUUGUUUGAUGGCCUUAUUGUUGCGGCAUCGAAGAAUGUGGUCCGUGUUGCUCAAAUUCCAGUAACAACAGAGGAGGCUGAACAUGUAUUGCUUCUGUUUGUGUUGGUUCGUCAACUUUACAUUCAACUGAAUCGCCUCACUUUUUCUUUUUGAAAAAUACAUAAAUUGUUUUCCCUCAAGAAUUGUAUUCACCGUUUUUCUGUGAAGGACAUUUUCUAUUCAGCACAAAAUCCAUGACCUAAUUAGAAUUUUCCCCAACUGCAGAAUCAAAAUACUCUAAAUUUCCACAAUUUGUAGAGGGGGGAGACAGAGAGAGACAGCGAGAGCAAUUUGCUCACCAGCUCACUUCGGCACUGCGCGCGGCGCCGGUGUUGCCUGAUUCUGUUUGCAUCCGUGCGGCAGCAAUGAGAAGUCAGGACUCAGCAGGUAGGAACGGAGAUGUCUCUGACCAGCAAUAACCAAUCCCUAGCCGUUCGCCCGCCAGCGGCAACCUCCACGCCGACAAGCCACAGCCGCCGCCGGCCAGUCCGCCGGUGCGGUGCCCCACCCCCACUCUCAGGCGUCAGCAGUCACAGGUCAAACGUGAAAUCUUGAUUGCUCUCGCUCGCUUAAUGGGUCGCUUUGCUCCUCUCAGGACGUGGGUGCAACGAGUAGAUAAGAAAAUGGGCCUUGUGGGCUGUAAUACAUAGGGGUAGUAGAAAAGUUAUUUUUUGCUGGGGGGCGACGGCCCAGGUUCGCCCCCACGAAGGGGAACUCCUAUGUGACGCAUUCUGCGUCAACUAGUUGCGGCUUCGCACAGGGGCAGCUGACUGGCGGGCUUUGUGGGCCGCUUGGCGCGCGCGAACUGUUUUUGAACUGUUUCAAGCGUUUCGUUGUUUCUGCUUCGCGAAGCUGUUCCACUGGUUGCUGUCCCUGCUGUUUUACACUGUUUUUACUGUUAUAAAGUAAAGAAUGGUUCCAUUGUUUCUUCUGUUUCUUCUCUUUCUGCUGUUUCAAUAGUGGUAGUAAAUUAAAGAAUGGUAUAGUUUCUACUGUUCCACUGUUUCAACUGUCUCCCAAAGAAACAUGAAACAGAAAAACCUUGAAUUUACUAAACAAUGGUUGCUGGUUCCAUUUUAUGAAACCAGGUGCUGGUUCCAUUUAUUACAAACUGGUACUUCUAAAACUAUCAUAAAAAGUGGUGAGCUUACAACUUGAUGAAAUUGACUAAUAAUAGUAUCACCAAGGUGUCAUGAAAGACUUAAAAAAUGUACAUGUCUUACUACUUGUAUUCAAUACUUUUUCAGCUGUUUUCGGACAUUGUUUACAGCUGAUGGUCUUGGAAGAAACUAUCAUUGGACCAGCAAGAGAAAAAAAGAUUGCUCUAUCGGUAAGGAAACUUUUUUGCCAUGGAAGUAUUCCUUGGAGUUGAAUCUUGCAGUGCACUUCCCUUGAAGGUGGCAGUAUUAAUGAGACCCUUGAGAAUAGAAAGAAGAAUUUGAAGAAACGUAAACGCGAUUAGAAGAAAUUAAUUUCACUGUUUGGAAUGAAAGAACAGGCUCUAAGAAAAUAACAUCUCUUUUGUUUCCAUAGGAGAGAAAAAAAAUAGAGAACUUACAUGUCGCUGCAGGAAAGAAGUUACUAACGGCAGUUGAAUUUGAUUGUCCUUGCAUGUUACAAUCUCAAACAGGAUUUUUUGACGUAGAGCUUGUAAAUCAUCCUACCGUAUUUUAGAAAAAGUGCAGUUUAAUUCCUGAUAUGUUCCAAGAAAUGAGCAAAAAACAGAAAAAAUGUUUAUAGCUUACAUUAGAGAAACCCUGCAAUUCAAGACCUUUGUACUUGCUAACAUACUACAGAAUGAAAAUUCCCGAGUCAUACCUGUGAAAUAAAAUAGCACAAUCAGUUCCAUACUCAAGAUGGAAAUUAUUGUGAAUUUAAAAUACUUCUAAUCUGUCUUUUAGGAGAAAGAGCCAAAAAUUUGCCCGUGGCUGGUACAAAUAUUGUAAAACUGGAGAUUUCCAUGGAAAACCCACCUGAAAUUGACCUUGGGAGCUGGUACAAAUCUUGAUUCGAAAUUACCUAUGUUGAAAGAAGUAGAAUUUCCAUAUGUAGCAGCAAACAAGACCUUGAAGUUGUAGAUAACCGCACUAAUUGUUGGUAGAAAUGUAUCAGCACUGUAGUACGGGUUCAUGAUAUCAAAAAAAUUGGCUCUGAAGUUAGCAGUGAUUAAAAUCCACUGUUUUUCCUUGAAUACGGGCAUUUUUACCUAGGGAAUUGUGGAAAGGAAAAAUCUAUUAGUCUAACCUCUUUCAACAAGAAAAAUCAGUAAGAAACAGUUUGUACAAAAAGAACUUAUCUUACCAAGGAAGCAUUCAAUAAACUGAAGCCAACAUUACUUUCCUAUAAGAUUAGUUUAUUUGUAGGAUCUGAAUGAUUUAGCAUUGGGUUCAUUAGCUUCUCCUGCAAGUUUGUUUCCCAGAAAAUUAUUGAUAGUUAAGAAAAGGAAAUGUCAAUGGUGUGAAAAUGAAAACAGAGGAAAAGAAUUUAAAAAAUAGGCUGACCAUGUCGUCAAUGUUAACUAUGUGCUCCACUAUUUCACUGUUUGGUAGGAGGCCUUUUCUUCCUCGGUUCAGCUGGUCUUUGUUCUUUAGUUUUGAAAAACAGGCAACAACCCGAGGGUUUAUCCAACCACCAGGCUUGAAUGAUAGAGUUAUGGUUUUCUGAUCCACCCAAACUCCUUCGAUCUCAAAUAUUCUUUGGCUAUUGAUGGCAGAAGAAUAUCAUCAAGAAAAGUGAAAAUAAACAUGAGAAAAAAGCAUUGAUAGCAUAUAUAAAAUUGUUUAUGUUCGAAUCAUGUACAACAUAUCACAUAAAAAUUCAUAUGCUUUUUGUACAUACCUGAAAGUUAAUUUGGGAAGUAGUCCAACCAAUGUUUGGUAGAAAUCAUUCUCUAUUCCAUCUGAAAAGAUGACCUGUUGCCCAGAAUUUUUGGGUUCUUGAAUGACUAGUGUCGCAGAUUUGAAAGAAUUGUUCACACGUUGUUGCCAGGUUGAAGUUUCUGGUUUUGAAAACUUGCUGGAAUGUGCUUCAUGUUGUUCGAGUGCUUUAACUAGCAAAGAAUCUUCAAUAGGUGUGGCAAUAUUGUUUGGGAAGAGUUUUGGUGAUAGGAAAUCCAUUAUCCUUAUUGGGCUCUCGGUUCCAGGAACAUCGGGAUUGGCAUGACUAUUGCAAUGCAUGCUAUACUGAUUUGCUGAGAGGGUGAACUGACUAGAGGAACGAGAUGCAAAUGGAACAUUGUGAACUAACUCAAUUGAAUUGGUAAUUGCAUCAAAUGAAGGAGAAUCUGUGUCUUGAUAUUGAGUGACUGUACCAGCCUCUCCAUUUGAAUUGGCAUGCAUUGUAUUGUUGAGAGUACUCUGAGAUGCAACUACAUUUUCAUCAGGCAACAAGUCUUUAUCCAGUUCAGCAUCAAUGAAAUCUAGUUGAACAAAAAAAGUUAAAAGAACAUUAAGAAUAAGAAAUCUUAACAACUCAGUUCAUCUACAUGUCUGAAAAAAUUACUUUGGAUAAAAUGAAGUUUGUAAGAGAAAUGACCUUCCAAAUGCUCUCCUGGUAAUAAGAAUCUGAACAGUGGAAAGCAAAAUUUUGUUUCUUCUACUCUUUGUUUUGGGUGUUUUGAUUCAGACAAGAAUCCUGUAGAAAAAAAUUGUCAUUACUUAAUUCAUGUUCUAUUUGGGUACAGAGAAAAAACAUGCUUAGAAGAGCUAUGAAAGAAAAACUUACGAUGCAACAUUUCUGAAACAUCAGUGGGAGGUGUUGUUUUUUGACUUGAUGUCUUCACAAAUAAUUCCGGACAAGCAAGCUCUUCGAAAGAUGGUAGAUUACCAUUAAAAGAUAGAGAGAAAUUAGAGCUGGUUAUGUUCAGAGAUUGAGUGAAAUAUUGACCAAUUGCUGAAGAAUUUCAUUGAUGUUGACUUGUUUAUCUUCAUCAACGAUUGUUGGGACAGUUAGUAUUUGGGAAGUUUGGAGGUGAUUCUAUAGCCAACAAUUGUUUAGUCCUAGGAACUUUGAAUGUGUUAUCCGAAACUGAUGAUUUAAAUUGCAGGUUUGGGCUGCUGGAAUAUGUCGACGUCUUGAGCAAUGAAGUAUGCAUGUCAUCUACAUAGGUCUUUAGAGUAGGUGCUGAGUUCCGAAUGAUAUUCGUGUAGAAUUUCUGAGCUUGUAUUUGAAGAAUUAUCUUGUCCUGUUGAAAUGAGAGAGUACGUCUUGUUAAACAAACUUUAAAAAAUGAGAAAGUCAGUUUGUUGUUGCUCCGAAAAAGAUGAAAAGCAGCAAGAGAACUUACUUGUGUCAUACUAAUAUCUGUGAAUUUGGAUUCAAUAUACUGCGAUAUCUCUUCAGGAAGUUCAAUGAAAACAGAAUCAUUGAAUGGAGUAGAGGAGAUGUGUUUUAUCUGUUGGGUAAGAAGAAGAUGUUAAAUAUUUAUGUAAUGUUCCAUUGCACUUUGAAGUAGUACCAUAACUAUAAAAUGAAAAUUAAAGACAGAGAAUAGAACUACGUAAUGUGCAAGAGUAAUAUCUAUGAAGAACAAGGCCAUACCGGUAGUCUGCCAUAUUCGUUUCUCUCGCCAUGGAGCACAUCAAGUGCCAUGUAUGAAUUAAGCAUGUUUGCCGACCAUAGUGGUAGUCUUGGUUCAAUGCUUGGGAACUUCAAUUCACUUAUUAUGAAGAACUCGAAAUAGGAUAUCUGACAUUUAAAACAAAAUUCAGACAGAUUUGGUAAAAAAAUGACAAGUGUGAAUCAGAGACAAAAAAUUGAUUGGUGCAUAGAAAAAGAAAAAUUAAAGAAAUUUUGUCAUGGGAAAUGAGCUUACCACCAUAAGUAAUUUGCAUCCUCCAGGAAUGAACUUUUUGGUGCUUGCCUUGUUUAGUUUUGCUUUUUUGAUUGAAUAAACCAUGUAGCUCAGACAUAGCAGACACCAAUCAUAUUGUGAAAUACUGUCUAUGUCAACUACUGCAUUGUAGACAAACUUGGUAACAACUCCACUUGAAUUAGGUGCAACAAACAGUGACAGUAGUAUCAGAAUGAAGAUUCGGCAGUAUUUAUCUCCAGGAAGUUCAUCAUUGAUAAUUGAGAAAAGGUACUCAAUAGUGGGUGAAGUUGUUCCUAACUCGUGCUUGAUGAAUUCAUACGUUUCUUCCGAUGGUUUCGUGAUGACAGGAACUCCACCAAUUGGCAUACCAAAAAUCUUGUGAACAGUUGAAGUUGUAAUAGGGAAUUUGAAUCCAUUUCCCAUUUCAAUGGAGCAAGAAGUAGUGUUGAAAUGGUUUGAAAGCCACAGGUAAAUGGAGUCAAUAUUGGACAUGCUUGUUAUUUGUAGGAAUGUCUGAAACCCCAUUCUACCUACACACUGUUUGUGUCUAUCACUGAUUUCAGAUGCAAGCUUCAGAAAUGAUUCGACAUGCUCAAAUUGAUUGCACUGCAUGGAAAAAAAUAAAGGAAGAAAGGAAAAUAUUAGAGGAUUUGUUCAAAAAAAAUAUGUCCCUUUUUCGUCCUAAAUCCUAGAGGUAGGCUGCAGGAAAGAUCACAAGAGGGGUCAGUAAUCUGCUAGCUAUUCAACAGCUUAUCAAGUCGAAAUAGUGUCUCUAUAAGUAGUUUGAUUAAACAAUGCAGACUUGUUCUUGGUAAGGAACGGCAAAGAAGAGUAAAGUUGGCUGGACAAGCAUGUCUUGGAGCCACUACAUGUUUUGUACAAAAAUGUCAAAAAAUUCUGAAAGUGGAAACAGAUUUUUCAAGCUUUUACCAGCCUCCAGAUAAAGAAAAAAACAUCUGGUGACAAAAAAGAGAGUAAAUAUUCAGGUUGAAACAACAAUGCAAAGAACUACCGCUAUUUGCUGAAGUUUUAUAUCAUUGCACAAUGGGUGUGGACAUGGAAGAUAGUUACUCAUUGAUUUGGGAAAUGAAAUGGGUACAUAAAAAGCAAAACAUAAACAGUAAUUGUACUGCUAGAGAACUGAGCAAAACAUAUCAGAGAAUGUUAUAGAGCAUAUCUUCAUUACCUUGGAUCUUUUGCCUCCAUGUACAAUCUCUUCUGCUUCUCUUUUCUUAGAACAUCCUUGUUCCAUCUACAGUGAAUAGAGUAUCGUUAAUUGUUCUAAUGAAAUUAAGUGGGGAGAAAUUCAAAGUAGGAAAACAUGGCAGUUGCUUCGGUGUGGAAGUGAUACUAUCUAUCAGUAUUGAAACACAAAUUUCUAAUAUGCAUUCAUUGUAAGCACUGUGUUGAACUACUAACAAACUGCAGCUCAUUGAUCGCCUGACGACGAUCGCACCAACAACCUUCAAUUCUGCAACAGGAAUAGUUAACAGUUUUCAAAGGCUAUGAACACGAAACAGUUACCGCUGAGCUAUCGUCUGAUCAGUCCCGUCGUGAUAACAACAAUUCGACUGCAAAUGGUAACCAGCAUCUUCCUAUGUCGCCGUCACCGUUGCCAUCUACCAACGGAAGGUCUCCCGGACUGGCAAUCAAACCAGGACAGUGCAGUGAACUGCUGGGUUGGUUGCAGCUGCACCGUUGUUUUUCAUUCAUGCUUCCAUCAAUGCGUUGAGGGCCAUCCCAAAAUCAUUUUUUGGUUCCCCAUCGGAAAAAGAUGCUGAAAUUAUCUUCUAAUAAGCACUGUGUUGUAGGACUAGUAUUACUGAAAUUAUCUUCUAAUAAGCACGUGUUAUAGUACUUCUAGGAAUUAGUGAAUGUAAGCAGGAAAAACAUCUUAAUUGGCAUGAACAAAAAGUAUUUCCACAAGGCUACUAUUCCUGACAUGUUCAAAUCGAACUACAUGGCUGCUAAAAUAUUCCGUGAGAACAAACCCUAGCCCAUCAGAACACGCGUUGUAGUCAGAGGCACCUAAAAAAGACAGCAGUAAUAACCUAUCUAAGUUGCAAUCCUUGGAAGAAGAUCUUAAUCACGAUGAUACUUCCGCAAGAUUGAACAAAAUAUACAUAGAUGAAGAGGUUAGAGGCGAGUAGAACAUAGGCAGGGCGGAAGGGAGGGGGGAUGGAACCUUUUGCUUGGAGCCGAUUCAGCCAACGGAGAAAUACCGGUGAACAACACUUCAGAUCUCAGGAGGGGCGACGACGAGCGGAGGGGAGGAGAGAACAGAGAAGUGAAAUGGGGAAAGUGUUCUAAGUGGACGGUCCCACUUGUCUGUUGCUGAACAGAAAAUAAAGUAGGAAAAAAACUCCGACCAGAUAAGACCUGGGGGGUACGUGGCCUGAUCUGUUCCACCAAACCACGAGAUAGGCGGCGGCGGCAGUGUAGCGGCGGCGCCGCCAGGGCACCUAAAAUCCCGUUUCCACCGGCGGCCGUGCUCGAGCGCACAGGUAGUAGAAUACCUCGCCCUCUCUUCUUGAUCUUCUUCCUUUCCUUUCCUUAAUCUGUUGUACAUUGAAGAAAGUUUGGUUGGGGGAAAAGGAGGAAGAAGUGGAAGAAAAAUUACUUGAAGUUUCUAGGAUAGUAAGAGGUAGAAUUGGUCAGUUAGUUGCUGUUGAUCUGACGAACAAGUACUUAGUUUAACGACUAGCUAGAAUUGGCCAGUCAUUGAACCUUGAUGAUUACCUAGUUUAAUGCUCUGAAGAAUUUCCUGUGGCCUGAGUUGCAAUUGUUGUUAUGAUUCAAUUUCAACUAGAUUUUUAAAAAUUCAUUGAAUCAGUCCUUAAACUAGUGAAAAGUUAUUCCAAGCACUGUCUUGCAGAUGUUGUAGCGGCAAUGUAAUGCUAGUUCUCCCAAAAAUUGCUAACAUGUUUUAGAGAAAAUACUCUGAAGCUGCUCUGGCCGCUGCUAUGUUUCCUGAACAAAUGUCACAAAAGAGAAUAGUGCCAGCAGAGUAGAGAAGUGAAACACAGGACUAAUAAAUGCACGUAGAUGAUGCCGCCACCGAGCUCCAGUAUGUUACGUGCAUGAUAAAUCUGUAGGAAUAUAAUGCCAUUUUUUCAAACACAUGAGGAAGACCAAAGAAAUUGUCCAGUCAUUGAAACUUGAGAAUAUCCGAGCUGUUUAGUUGAAUUUAGUAAUAUGAUUAAUGAUCCAACUAUGUUUGCAAGGUUCUGCCUUAGUGGCAUCUAUCUAUCUUCUACCUAUUUAUGCUGGACAUAUUCCAGCUAAGUUUCGUUUUACAAAUACUUAUCACCACAUAUACACAAUAUUUAUAAAGUAUUAAUGUGUUACGUAGUUUAAUCCUCUGUUUCAUUUUACUUCGCAUAUUUGCAAGUUUGACAAAGUUCACUGAAAAUACAUAAUAAGCAGUACGUGUUGUCUUGUUUGUUGCAGCCUAUGGUAUCAUCCAGAUGGAAGGUGAAAGCAGUUUUGUGCAAUUUGCUAACCGGCAAGUAAUCAGUAAGGAGAAAAAGAUUACUAAGAAGGUUAGUCUCUACAUUUCUUGUUUAUAAAAAUAGAAGUUGAGUGUGUUCAUUGAAAAAGUUAGUGACUACAACACCAGGAAAAAUUCAAAAGAGAGAAUGUGUCAUGUUUUCUUCUGGAUGCAGAAACAAAUUGAGAAAAGAACUGCAUCCAAUGGAAAAGAAGUGAAGAAGAGAAGGACCAACAAUGAAAACAAACCGCUGGAACGUUCAGCGGGCAAAUAUGUUGCAGAACCUGCAAGUGUGGUGAGUGACUGUCCUUGAUUCAAUCAUUGCUUUGUAGGGUUUCAGUUAAGAUGACAAGAUCUUUUAAAUUACUAUCACUUUUCUCUUAGGGGUGUCCUUUGAUGGAAGAAUUUGAUUAGUUUGUUCAAUAUCAAAGUUUGAGGAAAGAAACUAAGGUUGGUUCUUUGAGAUCUGUGAUUUAAAAUGCAUUUCUUCGUCGCAAAUGAUAUGCAGUACUAAACUUUAACACACUCAAAAAUGGUGUCCAGGAACUGAUUGAGAGUCAAGAAGCUGAAAUGGGGUCCAAUUUAUUUGGUGGCAUUGACAAAGAAGUAGAAGUAGCUGCACCAAACAUGAUCAGUGAACUUUUGCGAAUGUCAAAUAACAAUGAAUAGACUGUAAGUACUUUCAAAGUGGGUAGUGUGAUUAUAAUUGUAGCACAUGUUUUUCUCAACCAAAAAGUGUGACAAGAUCUUGAAUACAGUUGUAGUGUUUGACAGAAAAUAUAUAUUCAUUGUUUUUUGCAGUCAAUGGGGAGAAAUGAUGAUAACAACUACAAUGCUUCUGAAUCAUCUUCAGCAGUAGUGCUAAGUUUGAGCAAGCAGGUCAGUGUGAGAAAAAAAUGAAAACCUGCAAGUGCUUUUGUUUGCAAAUAUACUAAAUUAAGAAGUGAUAUGAGUAUUAAAAUGUAAAUAAAUCUUUACAGGACAGUGUUGGUGAGAACAUGAACAUUGAACCUUUGACGACAACAGAAGAAGUGGAAAAUAUUUGCCGUGAGGUACGAUUUUUGCAUGCUUGGGAAAAAGAAUAAAAAUAGACUUUUCAUAUUUUAACUUUGUUUUGUAAAGAUUCUUAUUCUGAUGUUGAAUACUUGUGUUCCUUCCCUUUGCAGGUACUUUCUUUGGCUCAGAAUUCUGAAUGUGAUUACGAAGGAAAUUCUGAGAGUGCAGAUUCUGAUGAAGAGACAAUAGCUUGUGCGGGGAAUGAAGAGUAUGUGUUCCCUACACCAGAUGAAGCAGACAAUGGUAGUGUGCCAGAAAUUGGUAAAGUCUUUACAACACUGGAUGAUGCUGCCCGGUUUGUAAAUGUUUAUGCUCAGCUGAAUGGUUUCGAAAUGAUAAAAGGAAGGAAUUAUAAGAAUAGGAAGUUGUAUUUCUAGUGCAAUAAAAGUAGGAAAAGACCAAGUAUCAACACUGGUUUGAGGAAAAGGAAAAGAAACAUUAUUGAAGGGACAAAUUGUCCAAUGAAUAUAACAGUGAAGUUGGUGGAUGACAAGUGGCAUAUCGCUUCAAUGUGUCUUGAGCACAACCAUGAUCUAGUAAGGUCUCCAUCACUUACAAAAAUUUUCUUAAGCCACAGAAACAUGAACGAGGCAGAAAUCAUGUUGUCAAAAUUGCUUCAAGAACACAGAGUGAAACCGAGAAGAAUCAUGAGCAUAUUCAGAAAGUUUUGUGGUGGCAAGCUGGGAAACAUUACCUUUGAUGUGAAGAAACUGGAUAAUUUGAAAAGGGAGAACGGAUGCGUAAAAAGGAGAACAUAGAUAUUGAAUGGACAUUGUAGUAUAUUGAGAAGCUACAAAUUGAUACUCCUGGUUUCUGCUACAUGAUGCAAAGAGAUACAGACAACACGGUUCUCAGCUUGUUCUGGACAGAUGCUCGUUCCCGAUUGAACUACAGGUUGUUUGGUGAGAUCAUUUCAUUUGACACCACUUAUAGCACAAAUAAGUAUAACAUGCCUUUUGCGCCUAUAGUGGGAAUUAAUGGCCAUGGAAGAACAAUUGUGUUUGGUUGGGCGCUAUUGCAAGAUGAAACUUCAGAUACUUUUGUGUGGUUGUUUGAAACUUUCAUGGAGGUCAUGCAGUGGAAAAAACCAGGAAUAAUAUUGACUGACCAAGAUGCAGGGAUGAAAGCUGCUAUUCCUCAAGUAUUUCCAGAUGCGUUACAUAGGUUCUGUCUUUGGCAUAUAUUUAAAAAUGUGCGGGAAAACAUGAGUGCUUACAUGGCUACAAGGGAAAAGAUGGAAAAACAUAUGAUGAAGUGUUUAUUGCAGUCCAUUACUGUUGAGGAAUUUGAAGAAAGAUGGGAGAAAUUUGUGCUGAAGUAUAACUGUGCUGAACAUGCUCACAUCAAAAGGAUGUGGGAGAACUGGACCUUCUUUGUUCCAGCUUAUUUUCGAGGCGUGUUUUGCCCUUUCAUAAGGUCGACCAGCUGGAGUGAAAGCUUCAACUCAAAUUUCAAGGACUACAUCAAGAGGAAAGAUACUAUAGAGGCUUUCAUGAAACAGUAUGUGCUGUUCCAAGAGAAUGUUAUUCACAUAGAAAACCAGGACAGAUUCUUGUCUAAUGAGAAGACUCCUAUCUUUUGGAGUCAUCAGCUUGUUGAACGGCAUGCAGCAGCAAUAUAUACCAGAGGAAUCUACUUGAAGUUUUUGACAGAAUUAGUGAAUUCAACAGCUUUUAAAGUUAUAGAAAUUGAGAAGGAUAAAGUGUAUGAUUUGGAAAAACACAUCAGGUAUGAAAAACCAGAAUUCACAAGAGAAAUGUUCAGAGUCCAUGUGGACCUUAGUACUGGUUCAUUCAAAUGUUUUUGUGGGAAGUUUGAGCGUGAUGGUAUUGUUCGUUGCCAUAUCCUCAGACUUUUUACGCAGUUUGACAUUACCCAUAUUCCAGAUAAGCUGAUUGUUGACAGAUGGACUAUUUCCUUCAGAGAAAAAGAAUUGGAUAAGUGCAAGAAAUAAAUGGUGCUACUUACAGGUGAAGAUCAGUCACACAAUGCAGUCAGAUAUGCUAUUCUGAUGAGUAAAGUUGGUGAAGCUUGCUCAGACAUCAGCAAAGAUUCUGAACUUAGCAAAGAACUUUUGGAUGAUGUUGCUCAAAUUCAUACGAAGUACUUGCAAGGGAAGAAACAACAAGAAGAAUUGCAGUCUGAAAAUUUGUUGAAAGAUCCUCCUAUACGGCCUUCCAAGUCUGUGAACAAAGGACAAAGAUUGAAGCCACAAUCUGAAAAGAAAUCUAGGAAGAAAGCAGCUCCAAAAAAGAAGACUAGUUGAUGGUUUUCAUUGUUCAGAACAAGGAAGAAGAUAAUUUCUGUUUGCAGCAAGGAAGAAGAUAAUUUCCUUCGUUGAAGAAUUUUUUGCAUUAUUAGCUGAAAAAAUUUAGAUGGAUUUUAAUUAUUGUGUGGACAAAGAAAUUUGAUGAUGUCCCUUGUUUUCUUGUUCAUGGAUAAUGUUCUUUGCAAAAUGAUGAUUGGAUAAUGUUCGCUGGAUAAAAAAAUGAUAAUUGUAUAAUGUUCCUAGGAUAAUGUUCUUUGCAAAAUGCUCCUUGGGGCCAAAACAAAUUAGUUGAACAAUAUUGUCCGAAGCUUGAAUAAAUAAUUGUUCCCUGAAUAAUGUUGCCUCAAUUAAAAACUGUUUAACGCUUACUAAAUAGUUCCUCAAUAUUGUUCCUUGAUUUUUAAAAAUUCAUUGAAUAUUCCCUCAAUGAUGUUCUUAGUGAAAAGUUAAAAAUUGUUAUUCAAAAAUAAAUAAUGUUCUCUGAAAAAAGGUUAUUCUAGACUAAAUUGUUAUUUGCAUUUUGAAAAACAUUUAUUUGUAGAACAUUAUUAAAAGAACAUUAUUGGGGGAACAAUCAUUAUUGCAUAAAAAAAGUAAAUACUUUUCUUUGAAGUUUAAAAAUGUUCUUUAAGUCCAAAGAAAAAAUUCCUCGGCAUCAACAAUAUUUAGGGAACAUUAUUCAGGGAACAUUAUAGUUCCCUAAGUAAUGUUCUAAAAAACACUAAAUUGAUCCAUAAUAAAUAAUUUUCUUUGAAGUUUAAAAUUGUUCUUCAAGGCAAAAAAAAAAAUUCCUCGGCAUCAACAUUAUUUAGGGAACAUUAUUCACAGAAUUUGGGGGACAUUAUUGAAAGGACAUUGAUCAGGGAACAUUAUAGAGGAACAAAAAGAAAACUGAACAGAUAAUUGGGGAACAUUAUUCGAAGAACAUUAUUGGGGGAACAAACAUAUUAUAUAAAAUAAUGAUAAGUGAAUAUUACUUCGAACAAAAUUUCCUUGAAUAAUGUUUCAUUCGGGUCAACAAAAUUUCCUUGGAGGGAUGUUUUUACUAUAAUGAUAAUCAGGUCAACAAUGUUCAAACUCUUCAAUAUAAAAAUGUUCCUUGUAUAAUAUUUCCUGAAUAAUGUUCCAAGAAAAUCAGUAAUUUGUUCCUUAUAAAUUCUUUGAAGUUUAAAAAUGUUCUUCAAGUAAAAAAAAUUCGUCAGAAUUAAUAAUUAUUUGAGGAACAUUAAAAGACAAACAUUAAUUUGGGAAUAUUAUUGGGGGAACAAAAAAGUUUGAACAUUAUUAGAGAACAAGAGAACAUUAUUUGAAAAAAUAGAACAUUAUUUGGGGAACAUUAUUUGUGGAACAAUAUUAAAAGAACAAUUUUUUAACAUAAUUAUUAAAGAUAAAUUUAUUUAUCGUGGGAACAUUAUUAGAGAACAUUGUUCGGAAAACAUUAUUGGAGGAACAAAAAAAAUUGAACAUUAUUAUAGAACAACAUUGGGAAAAAAAUUGAACAUUAUUUGGGGAACAUUAUUUGUGGAACAGUAUUAAAAGAACAAUUAUUGAACACAAUUAUUAAAGACAAAAUUAUUUAGGGACUUCACAUAACAUUAUUUGGUCAACAUUAUCUUGGGAACAUUAUUAGAGAACAUUGUUAGGAGAACAUUAUUGGAGGAACAAAAAAGUUUGAACAUUACUCCUAAGAAAAUCAGUAAAUUGUUCCGUAUAAAUAAAGUUCUCUGAAGUUUAAAAAUGUUCUUCAAGUAAAAAAAAAAUCCUCAGAAUCAACAAUUAUUUGAGGAACAAUUAAAGACAAACAUUAUUUGAGGAACAUUAUUGGAGGAACAAAAAAGUUUGAACAUUAUUAGAGAACAAGAGAACAUUGUUGGGAAAAAAUUAUUUGGGGAACAUUAUUUGUGGAACAUUAUUAAAAGAACAAUUAGUGAACAUAAUUAUUAAAGACAAAAUUAUUUAUCAUGGGAACAUUAUUAGAGAACGUUGUUCGGAGAACAUUAUUGGAGGAACAAAAAAGUUUGAACAAUAGAACAAGAUUGGAAAAAAAUUUGAACAUUAUUUGGGGAACAUUAUUUAUGGAACAGUAUUAAAAGAACAAUUAUUGAACACAAUUAUUAAAAACAAAAUUAUUUAGGGACUUCAGAUAACAUUAUUUGGUCAACAUUAUCUUGGGAACAUUAUUAGAGAACAUUGUUCGGAGAACAUUAUUGGAGGAACAAAAAAGUUUGAACAUUACUUGCCGAACAUAACAAUAAUCAGGGAACAUUUUAGGGGGACAAAAAGUUUGAACAUUAUCUUGGGAACAUUAUUAGAGGACAUUAAGAGAACAUUACUGUGAAAAAAAAACUUUCAACAUUGUUUGGGGAAAAUUAUUUGUGGAACAUUCUUAAAAGAACAAUUAUUAAACACAAUUGAGCACCAUUAUUAAAAGAUAAAAUUAUUUAGAGAACAUUAUUGGGGGAACAAAAAAGUUUGUACAUUAUUUGAGAAACAUUAUUGAAGGAAUAAAAUUAUUUAGAGAACAUUAUUCAAAGAACAUUAUUGGGGGAACCAAAAAGUUUGAACAUUAUUUGAGGAACAUUAUUGAAGGAACAUUAAUCAGGGAAAAUAGGGUAACAAAAAGAAAAUUCAACAUUUAUUUGGGGGAGAUUAUUGAAGGAACAUUAUUAGGCGAACAAUCAAUAUUCUAUAAAAAAAUGAUAACCGAAUAAUGUUCCUUCUAACAAAAGGGUGAACAAAAUUUGCUUGGAGGAAAUUUUUUACUACAUUUAUUUCGUUCGUUCGUUCCUAGGAAUAUUAUUGUUUGAUGCGGAAUUUUUUGUUCACCCUUUUUUAGGAAUUUUUUACUACAUUUAUUGUUUGAUGCGGAGGAAUGUUGCCUAAAUAAAUUUUCUUUAAUAAUUGAAUAACGUUUGUUGAAUACUGUUCGUUCAUUGAAUAAUGUUUGUUGAAUAAUGAAUAAUGUUUGUUGAAUACUGUUCGUUCGUUGACCAAUUUAAUUUUGGAGAAGUGUUCACUACAAUUUGAAUAAAAAAUGUUCACUGAAUAUUGUUCCCUAAAAUAAUGUUCUUAGUAAAAAGUUUUAAAAAAGUUCUCCAACAUUACUUAAUGUUCUCUGAAGUAAAAAAAAUGUUCUUCAAGCCAAAAAAGAUUUCUAGGAACAAAAUGAUAAUUGAAUAAUUUUCUUUGGAACAAAAUUUCCUAGGAACGAGGUCGAGAAGCGGACCAAAUUUUGUGAAUCUUUGUUAACAUUAUUAAAACAGGAAAAAGAACAUUAUUCAAAUUGUAGUGAACACUUCUUCAGUGUUCUUUGGGAAGUCUGUCCUAAGGAAGAUCAAAAAUUGUAUCAGCAUUGUUUUGUUCAUCACAUUGUGUUUCCUUCUAUAAACUUAUGUUUGAUCCAGAUAUCAAAAAACUUGAAAACAACUAUGAGCACCAAACACAUAUAUGAAAGAAGAGAUGCUGGUGACACGAUUCCGAUAAAUGUAUUAAACUAUUGGGAAAUCAUUUAGUCGAAACCCAGAGGAAAAAUUUAAAUUGUUGGGAAUAUUCUCCUCAUAAUAAUUGUAGUUUUCUGGUCAUACUGGGGAAGACUUAUUCCCACAACAAGAGAAAAGAGCGGUUCUUAAAAAGUUUUUCAAAUAAGAGACAGCUGACUUUACAACUACUUCUGUUUCAUUCAUGGCGCAAUUGGACAGAGAUCAAUUUUAGAAGCUGGAAGUGUUUUCUUUCUGCACAGAACUAACGGCGCUUUUUCCUCUUCUUGCUUGAAACAUCUUCUUGAAGUCGCUCGAAGUCUUCUUCAUUGAUGUCAGACUUUGCCAAUUUGUAAGCAACGAGCUGCCGAAAUUGAGGAAUAAUUUCUUGAUACAAAUGAAAAGGUGAACAACACAUUAGGCAUGCCAAAAGAGAAGUGCUGGAAACUAAACAUAGAGCAAGUAUGGAGGAAGAACAAUUUCAUGGCAACAUACAUCAUCAAAUUCCUUCAUGUUCUUCCCAUCCCAGAUAUCCAUGUACAUGAUAGCAUACAGAGCACAAUUGUGGCUGCACAAGAAUUUUAAAAUUCAGUAAAAGAAACUUGUUUAAAAAAAUUCAAGUGAAUAAAAGAGUUUAACAGAAAAGAGUGGAUUCUCUAUAAUGAUGCUUUUGUUUUACUCACAGGUUGUUUUGCUGGGGGUAGUCCUCAGGAGAAAUGCACUCAAAAUUUUCGAUGUUUUUGUAUGUGUACCCAGAAGAUUUGAAGAGGGUAGCCAUGUUGAUGAUCUAUAUUGAAAAGUAGUAGAGUUCAACAACCACAGAACUUCAAUAAGAAAAGGGCACUUAAUUUUUGUUGAAUGCCUAAACAUACAGAAGCUUACAGGGUAGUUAGCAGUAAAAACAGAUUAUGUUACAAAGCGAAAGAAGUUAAAAGUAAAGGAAGAAAACAAACCAGGUUUGACGUUAACUUGUUGACAAGAUUUUAAGGAAUAGAAGAUCUUGAAUCAAAGAAACUGAUAGUUUCAAACAAAUUGUUGAUGCAGAACAAAGACGAGUGGAAUGAGUCAACUCUGGGGAAGUAUAGCUGGAUGGCAAAAAAAGUAGAAAAAACAGAUAAGAUGAGAUAGAAUGCAAAAAAAGAGAAAUACUUAUGAUGAUAAAAGUUGUUUACCAGAUCACGUUUAUGCAAGUUCUUUCCAGAGGUAAUUUUCUUGAAUUCUCUUAGGCAAGACCGAGAAUUGAAGAUUUUGGGGUCUACAAGCACCUUUUGCUGCAAAGUUAAAUUAAAAAACAGAUCAUAACACCAAGAAACAUAACUUCCAUGAGUGUAUCGUGAACAAAAAGAAACAUAGAUGAGGAAUAGAGAAUUACCGUGAAAUAGCUAGUAAAGCAAUAUUUUGAAGGGUCCUUGCUGUUUGGGUCUGGAUUUUCAUUCUCAUAAUUGAAAAUUUGGACAUAGGCAUUGAAUACUUCAUUAUCAACAUUUCCUAUUGCCUUUAAUGAAUUAUAGAAAUUAUCAUACUCCACAGGAAAGCCAUUGAUAUCAAUAACAGUUGGACUGCACGAUAAAAAAGAAUAGAAACGCUUAUUGAACAAAUUGUACAAAAAAGAAGAAUGCAUGAUAUUGAAAAAAUUAGUUUGCACAUUGAAAUGACUUACUUAUUGCCAUUCUUGAAGAAUUUGUUUGCAAGGUAUUUCUUAUAAAACUCCUGAACAUGAGGUUCAACAAUCAUCUUUGAAAUCUUUUCCUGAGGAGAUAUUACUUUUGCUUUCCUUUUCUUUCUAUUUCUCUUCUCUAUUGUGCUUGGACCAGACAUGUUUAGUGUAACAUCAGAUGACUGCUUCUCAGGUACUAGAGGAUCUGUCCAAUUAAGCAGUUGCAUAUAAUAAGUAUUGUGCUGACAACACAAUGAAACAUAUAAAAAAAGACAGGGCAUUGCAAGAACAAAAUCAGUGAAGCAAAAAGCAAAACAAUGGAACAGCAGGAUGGGGAGAUGAUAAAAAAUGUUUUGAGUUACCUUUGGGAACAGACUUGACAACUUCUUCGACUAAUAAAUCAUCUCCAUACUUCAUGGCAAUUUCAAUGCCAGUUGCAACAUUGUCAAUUGAUUGUGAAUUCAGAUUUGUUGGUGUGGAGGCAUCUUCAAUUAUAAUGUUGCUCGAAGGAGACAAUAUGAUCUCGAGACUAGGAUUGUUCUGAACUAGAAAAGGAGAGAUGGGACAGGAAGAUGAUUCAUUGUUUGGUGUCUGACUGGCAGGUCUAACAUCACCUGGCUUUUGCUCAUUCAGUAACUGAACAUUUUCUCUCACAGAAAAUGAGUUUCCAGAGGAGUUUCCUGCAGAUUUACUGUCAUAGAGUUGAAAUUUUGAGAAUCUAUCUGAUUUGCUUCAGUAACACUUGUAGGAUGAACAGAAUCCAGUGGUUCCAGGAAUCCAGUUGAUUUAGUAUGAACUGCCUCAGAAACGGUACCUGAAAAUGGCAAAAAAUAGUGAUGUCAGAAUGUGUUUACAGAAUGAAUGUAUUUACCAUAAUAGUGAUGUCAGGAACAGGAAACUGAGUACUAAUAAAACUGCCUCAUGAACAACAAAUUGAGUGCUAUGACUAGUUUGAGUAAAAGAAAAAAUGUUGACCAAAUGUGUUAUCAGAAUGAAUAUCAUUGUCCACACCUGUUUGUGCUUGCUCAUUUUCCUGGAAUUGCUGAGGUAAUGACACUUGCUUUUGAACUUCAUCGGAAAUUUGAACUUGGUUAUCCUUGGUAACAACUGGAGUAGGAAUGACUCUGAUAUGGUCGUCAAAUAAAGAACCUGUAAUUGCCUCACUGUUAACUUGGAGUGUGCGAUUGCCAGGAUUUAAUGGUUCUCUGAGAACAUUUUUGUUGCUGGCUCCAGACAGAAGAACAAUUGGAUUCGUGGUUGAAAUGCCAGCAUCAUUGACUUGGCUGCUAGAAUUUGCUGUAAAGACAAGACAGUUGCUUUGAGUUCUGCUAGCAUACUCUGUACAUGCUCUUCAUGGAACUUCUUCCAAAUGACAUCAUGUUUUGCAACUAUUUUAGAGACUAUCUUCAUAACCUAUUAGUUUGAGCAAACAGAACAGAUAUAUGUGUAUUAGUUUCUGGUAUGAAAGUAAAGUGACAACACUAAUAUCUAUUAAGAAAAGAAAAAAAGCAGGCCAACAUACUUCUGGAUUGUUGUUCGAAGUAGAUGCAACAUUUUCUCUGUCAUUUUGGUUUGGAAUGUCAUUUUCAUCAUUAUGAAAAGACUCUGGCGCUUUGGACCACUUCUCCUCAGCCAAUACAAUUGCACGAGCACUAUAAGGUGUCGUAGAGAUGUCUUUCAACUGCACAAAAAAAAUGCAAUUGAAAAGGAUUAUAAAUGACAAGAUUUGCUCCUUCUAGAUUGCUUGUAGAAGAAAAAUCUUUUUGCUAACUUGAAAAAUGAACAACAACAAAUUUAUACAAGAAGCUUACUGGUAAGAAACCCAAUGCAAAACUCUUCUUGGAAGCUCUGUUCAGAUUCACUGUAGCUAGAUAGUCAAAGUCUUCAUUCUGAACAUGUGCAAUUCUAGGGACUCCAUAAUUGAUGUUUCGUUGUUUAGAAGCUUUUGUGAAGUCUACAAAGUCCAGAUACACAAUCUAGGAAGGUUGUGAAUCAUAAGAGAAGAUAUAAGAGGUAAUCAGUGACUAUAAAAAAAGAUUGCAGAACUAAAGUCUAUGUAAAAAAUUGAAAAUGACAGAGGAAAGAAAACUUACAGCAGCCAACGGUAAACAUCCACCAACAUAGAUUGAAUCAUUCAAUGGAACUUCAGCUCUAUUGAAGAGUUUAGUGCUGAAGUUAUCAAUUUCAUUGUUCAGGUGAUCAAUGCACAACUGAGCCAAAUCAAAGGUCUUCAGCUUGGUAAUGUCAUCCAGCCCAUAAAGAAGUUUCCAGUUUGCAUAGUUCCGAGUGGUUGGACAUAAAACAGAUGUUAUGAACAGAAACAUGAAGCUCCGUAUGAAGCCUUCCUCAGUCUCAUCAUUUUUCAUCUUGGUGAUUAUGUUAUCAAAUGAAAUGUUCUUCUCCCCAGCACCAAGAUACUCAGACCUAAGUUCCAAUACUCUAGCCACGAUAACUUGAUCUGUGCUGUCCAUAGGAAAAGGCACGGAACUAGAACGAAUACCAAAAACUUGAAUUACCAUUUCCCUUCUCAGAUGAAUUAUCUUUUGACCCUUCCUGAAAACUCCUGUUCCAUUACAAUUUAAGUGGUUCGCAACCCAUUGCAGUACUGGAAUUGGAAUCAUUAAAUGAGGGUGAAUGUUCAGGAGAUGAUCAAGCUCAUAUUUCGUAACAUAUGACUUCCGGAUGUCAGUUAAAUCAGCAACUGCCUUACACCACCUAAUGGUAGAGAAUCUGUGUUUGAUACUACCCGGAGGGUAUUUGUAAAGUUUAGGCAUUUUGACAGUUGAGUGAGAGCUGUAUAAAAAUAAUAAAAAGUAAGGUGCUGAAAUUUUAGGUAUAAAAAAACGUUCAUGUAAAUGUAAGCUGCUGAAACAAAAAUUAAUUCUGCAAAACAGAAGAGAAGUACAUAGUAUCACUCAUAGUUACAUUAUACACAAAAAAGCAGAAGAUGCCAACUGAUUGCCAAGAAAGCAGAAGUGAUGAAGGACUAAUUCCAAUGCAAGAAGGAUAUGUAGCCCUAACACCCAAUUUUUCUAAAAUUUAUUUUCUAAAAUUUAUUUUCUUCCUCUUCUGUUUCCUUGUUUUUCUAAAUUUUCUAAACAAUUCACAUUAUUUUAUUUUCUGAAUUUUUCUAGAACACUUUUUCAAAUUGGCGAACAUUUUUUGAUCCUCAAUUUCAGAAAAUGUUCAUCCAUGUCAAAAAGUUCAAAAAAAAUUGAUGUUAUAAAAUUUAGAUGUGAUGUAGUACAAGAACAAUCAUUUGAGUGAACACACAAUGUUCAAACAAAUUUACACAUUACAGAAACUAACAAGUGUCCUAUCAUCAUCAACAUAAACACACACACAAAAUUCCAAGGGCAACCGCAUGAAACAGACAACCUCCUACCAUCAUUAUGCUGUAUUCAUAACCUGAUUCCAAAUUCUAAAUCACAUCCGGGAAACCAAACUGAAAAAAUCGCUCCAAAGGGACCUUGUCUAGUCUCAUAUUCACCCAAAUCAGACUGAAAAAAUCGCUCCACUGCUACCACCAAACCUCCUACAAACCCUAGAAACGCUGGACCGACACAAACGGGAAAAAACGUCUUGAUCUUGCAAAAUCACACACAGAGGACACGAACCAGCUUGACAAGAACACAGAAGAGGGAACUGGGGGCAUUACCUUGAAGAUGACGAACUUGACGAAGAUCGAUGGAACCCUAGAUGACCCGAUCUUGACGGAACCCUAGACGACGCCGACGCCGACGAGGAAGCAGUGACCACCUGCAAAAAAGCAUCCAUCACGACGACAUCCGCCAGAUCUAAUCGGCGAUGCCUCGGACGAUUCAACGGGAAAGAGGUCCGUCGGCUGCUUACCAGGGCGGCGGCCUCUUAUCGGAGCGGGAUCCCUGUAGGAAAAAGCAGACGAAGAGGGAGGAAGUGGGAUGCGGGACGAGGGAGGAAGAGUACGAUGGAUGCGGGACGAGGGAGGAAGAAGACGGGAGAUGCGGGACGAGGAAGAGGAACGGGGAAACAGUGACUCGAGGAAGAGGAACGGAGAAACAGCGAACAUGUAUUAAAAAGGCCGGCCCAAAUUAGGCGAAGGGGUGUACGGCGCGUCGACAGUUUGACGCAAAAUGCGUCAAAUAGGAUAUUCCCCCACGAAGCUCCGCCGUUGGGUCUCUGGAUGCGUGCGGUGCAGCCACGCUAGGACUAGAAAGAACGGCGGCGCGACCACCUGUCGAGACGAGGCUCCCGUGCAUCGCCACGGCGGGCCGAGCUUCCCACACCUGUUCGCCUCGCCCCCCUUACCCCUCUUAUAGCCGAACUCCACGCGCCAGCGCCAUGUCCCUCGCCGCCGCAGCCUCCCCGUCGUGCCGCUUCCUGUCGCCCUCCACGGCCGCCCGCCGCCGGUUCCUCCACCACCUCCUCGCCGCGCCCCCGAGGCCGCCGCAGCUUCGUCGCUGCUCCCCGUACCACUGGAUGGCGGUACGUAGCAGCACACGUGACGCCCUACCCUUCUCCUUCCCCUUUUUUGUUUGUUGUACUGCCAUCCUGCAUAACUGUUUGACGAUUGCCGCGGCAAAUUGGAUGAUUAAUUAACCUGCACCCUCGAGUUUAAGCCGAUUCAGGAUAUCUUAGUUGCGCGUUUGGACUCGAGAGAGAUUUGGAAAUCGGGAGGGCUAGCCCUAGGCUCUAGCUGAUCGGUGGAUUUUAGUCUUGUAUAGCUCUAAAGGAGAGCGAUUAUGAUUUUGAGGGCGGGAGAGCACAAGAGUAUGAUGGUGAACUUGGCUUCUAGCAGGUCCAGCUAUGAGUGAAGCCAUGCUACUGAUCUUUUUUACCGGUUGGUGCUGAAAAUUCAAUAGUGUUAAGCUAUCUUGUGCAAGCGUGGCACCUUGAGUGUGAUAAUAUAGGUUAAAUCUGAACCUAACUAUGCUGUGAAGGUAGCUUAUCUGUUGCAGAAACUGGGAAUUAUGUGCCCACAAACAUUUUAUUUUGGAAAGGGCAGUUUACUCCUAACAAAUGCGACAGUGUUAUGCGAUAUCAAUGUAAUGAAAUCUGCGAUCAUCAUAUAUUUUUGGCACACUGUGAAUGUUUUAGUGAAGCACAUAGUCGUUGCUGCUCAGUGACGGCAAGCACUGGAGUUCACCUAUGAGGGCUACUCCCUCCGUUUCAAAUUACUCGUCGUAGAAAUGGAUGUAUCUAGAACUAAAAUACAUCUAGAUACAUCCGUACCCGUGACAAGUAAUUCGGAACGGAGGGAGUACAUCUCAGCAUCUGUUGUUUAACUUGCAGCAAUUUUGGACUGAAGGAUCACUGGAGAAGAACAACGCUCUGGUUGAAUACCUGAAACAGUAUGGUGUUGUUCGAACAGAUAAAGUGGCAGAAGUUAUGGAAACUAUCGAUCGAGCCCUAUUUGUACCAGAGGGCUUUACCCCUUACAUUGACAGUCCUAUGCCUAUUGGUUACAAUGCAACGAUAUCUGCUCCUCACAUGCAUGCAACCUGCUUAGAACUUUUGAAGGAUCAUUUACAGCCAGGCAUGCAUGCUCUAGAUGUUGGAUCAGGUUUGUUGCUGACAGCCUGAUACGCUGUCACUCUGUUUAGUGCCUUCAGAUGAUACACCUGUAUCUGUAUAAAUAAAUAACUUUAUCAAUAUCCAACUGACACUUUUGUCUCAAACUACUGCCAUCUUCAUCCAUUUCCUAUCACAGGCAGUGGCUACUUGACAGCUUGUUUUGCAAUGAUGGUCGGACCAGAAGGUCGCGCAGUGGGGAUUGAACACAUUCCUGAGCUUGUUGCUGCUUCAACUGAAAAUGUUGAACGGAGUGCUGCAGCAGCACUACUGAAGGAUGGUUCACUUUCUCUUCAUGUUUCAGGUAUGCUAGUUGGUACUAUGGUGUGUUGAGCCAUUCAACACAUCAAUGAAAUUUUAAUUUCCGCUGGUCGUUUUAUAGCCUCAAAACGUCAAGCCGAUAUGAUAUGCAUACUAUGAUAAAGCAAAUAUUUCUAUGGAAGUCCAAAACAUCUGGAGCUCAAAGUUGUCCUGUUGCAAUUCACAAAACCACAGAUGGAAGGCUCGGCUGGCCGGAUGUGGCGCCAUACGAUGCUAUUCAUGUGGGCGCAGCGGCACCCGAGAUCCCUAGGCCGCUGCUAGAACAGCUGAAGCCUGGCGGGCGGAUGGUCAUACCCGUCGGCACAUACUCUCAGGACCUGCAGGUGAUCGACAAGAGCUCCGACGGAUCCAUCAGCACCCGCAACGAUGCCUCUGUUCGCUACGUCCCUCUCACCAGCCGCUCUGCUCAGCUGCAGGACAGCUGAGAUCCUUUGCUCUGGAUCUCAAAAUGUGUGUGUAUAUAUGUGAGUGCCUAUGAUCUUUGUCCACCAAUGUGGCGUCUGAUGUUUAGAUGGUUUGGUUUUGUAUAAAAUGCUUACUGCUGGUUGAUGUUGCGUAGAAUAUGUGAAUACGUGUUGUGUGUGGUAAGUUAGGAAAUCGCUAGCGUUUGUGUGGCCUUUUUAUGGCAUGAUUUGUCGCGGUUUAAGUUCAGUUCAGGUGCAAUUUCUCAACUUUGAGAUAAAGAUGCAGCAUUAUCCUCUCAACUUCAUGCCCUCUCAUCAUCUUUA
rnacentral:lncRNA from 1 species